CUUUCUCUCCAGAGUUGCUUUCUUUUUCAGAAGCCCUGCCUUCUGAAAUCCACUUUAUUUUUUAAAGCUGAAAACAACAGACAUUUCUGCGCUUCUUCACAGGCAUCAUUUCAAGCUGGGCUACAUUUCUCCCACUGGAUUAGACCCUGAAAUAAUCUGGCGAUUUGUAGGCUAUUCCUUCCUAUUUAAGAGUGAGCUCCAUCAGAUCUGAUCAGAAAACUGUGCUCUUCAACUAGUCUCUGUCACUGGCUUUGAAUCGGCAAGGCCCCAAGGAACUGAAUGCUAUCGCCGUCCUGAGCAUGAGGAAGCAGGCGCUUUCUCAGCUGAAUCUCAGAAGAGAACCCAGUCUUGGCUGGCACUUUGAUUAUGGGCUUGUGAGAUCUAAGCAGAGGACCCAGCUAAAUAUGCC